GACGAACGCUGGCGGCGUGCCUAACACAUGCAAGUCGAGCGAAUGAAGUUCCUUCGGGAAUGGAUUUAGCGGCGGACGGGUGAGUAACACGUGGGCAACCUGCCUCAUAGAGGGGAAUAGCCUUCCGAAAGGGAGAUUAAUACCGCAUAAGAUUGUAGUACUGCAUGAUACAGCAAUUAAAGGAGCAAUCCGCUAUGAGAUGGGCCCGCGGCGCAUUAGCUAGUUGGUGAGGUAACGGCUCACCAAGGCGACGAUGCGUAGCAGACCUGAGAGGGUGAUCGGCCACAUUGGGACUGAGACACGGCCCAGACUCCUACGGGAGGCAGCAGUGGGGAAUAUUGCACAAUGGGGGAAACCCUGAUGCAGCAACGCCGCGUGAGUGAUGACGGCCUUCGGGUUGUAAAGCUCUGUCUUCAGGGACGAUAAUGACGGUACCUGAGGAGGAAGCCACGGCUAACUACGUGCCAGCAGCAGCCGCAGUAA
rnacentral:rRNA from 1 species